rnacentral:rRNA from 1 species
UGAACAAUCACGGGAGUGGCAGACGGGUGAGUAACGCGUGGGAACAUACCCUCCGGUUCGGAAUAACUCAGGGAAACUUGAGCUAAUACCGGAUACGGCUUAGCGGCGAAAGAUUGAUCGCCGGAGGAUUGGCCCGCGUCCGAUUAGCUUGUUGGCGGGGUAACGGCCCACCAAGGCGACGAUCGGUAGCUGGUCUGAGAGGAUGAUCAGCCACAUUGGGACUGAGACACGGCCCAAACUCCUACGGGAGGCAGCAGUGGGGAAUAUUGGACAAUGGGCGCAAGCCUGAUCCAGCCAUGCCGCGUGAGUGAUGACGGCCUUAGGG